rnacentral:rRNA from 1 species
AACGAACGCUGGCGGCAUGCCUAACACAUGCAAGUCGAACGAGACCUUCGGGUCUAGUGGCGCACGGGUGCGUAACGCGUGGGAACCUGCCCUUAGGUUCGGAAUAACUCCCCGAAAGGGGUGCUAAUACCGGAUAAUGUCUUCGGACCAAAGAUUUAUCGCCUUUGGUUGGGCCCGCGUUGGAUUAGCUAGUUGGUGGGGUAAAAGCCUACCAAGGCGACGAUCCAUAGCUGGUCUGAGAGGAUGAUCAGCCACACUGGGACUGAGACACGGCCCAGACUCCUACGGGAGGCAGCAGUGGGGAAUAUUGGACAAUGGGCGAAAGCCUGAUCCAGCAAUGCCGCGUGAGUGAUGAAGGCCUUAGGGUUGUAAAGCUCUUUUACCCGGGAUGAUAAUGACAGUACCGGGAGAAUAAGCUCCGGCUAACUCCGUG